AGCUUUGCGCAGUGACAGUAUCGUAGCCAAUGAGGUUUAUCCGAGGCGCGAUUAUUGCUAAUUGAAAACUUUUCUCAGAGGGGUGGCAGAGACCCCACGGGGUUGCCCCAAGAAGGUGCCUGCAC
ensembl:snRNA U4 U4 spliceosomal RNA